AACGAACGCUGGCGGCGUGGAUAAGACAUGCAAGUCGAACGGGAUAUUAUUUGUAGCAAUACAAAUGAUGUCCAGUGGCGUAAGGGUGCGUAACACGUGGGCAACCUGCCGAGAAGUGGGGGAUAGCUCGUCGAAAGGCGAAUUAAUACCGCAUGUGGCUAGUGAAGACAUCUUCACAACGCCAAAGCCGGGGCAACCUGGCGCUUCUUGAUGGGCCCGCGGCCUAUCAGCUAGUUGGUGAGGUAACGGCUCACCAAGGCUAUGACGGGUAGCUGGUCUGAGAGGACGACCAGCCACACUGGAACUGAGACACGGUCCAGACACCUACGGGUGGCAGCAGUCGAGAAUUUUUCUCAAUGGGGGAAACCCUGAAGGAGCGACGCCGCGUGGAGGAUGAAGGUCUUCGGAUUGUAAACUCCUGUCAUUAGGGAACAAGUUGCAUGCGUUAACUGCGCAUGCAUUGAUAGUACCUGAAGAGGAAGAGACGGCUAACUCUGUGCCAGCAGCCGCGGUAAUACAGAGGUCUCAAGCGUUGUUCGGAUUCAUUGGGCGUAAAGGGUGCGUAGGUGGCGCCGUAAGUCAGGUGUGAAAUCUCGGGGCUCAACCCCGAAACUGCACUUGAUACUGCGGUGCUCGAGUACUGGAGAGGAGAUUGGAAUUUACGGUGUAGCAGUGAAAUGCGUAGAUAUCGUAAGGAAGACCAGUGGCGAAGGCGAAUCUCUGGACAGUUACUGACACUGAGGCACGAAGGCCAGGGGAGCAAACGGGAUUAGAUACCCCGGUAGUCCUGGCAGUAAACGGUGCGCGUUUGGUGUGGGAGGAUUCGACCCCUUCUGUGCCGGAGCUAACGCGUUAAACGCGCCGCCUGGGGAGUACGGUCGCAAGAUUA
rnacentral:rRNA from 1 species